rnacentral:rRNA from 1 species
CAGUCGCCGCGGGAAUACGUAGGGUGCGAGCGUUAAUCGGAAUUACUGGGCGUAAAGCGUGCGCAGGCGGUUCGUUAAGACAGAUGUGAAAUCCCCGGGCUUAACCUGGGAACUGCAUUUGUGACUGACGGGCUAGAGUAUGGCAGAGGGGGGUAGAAUUCAACGUGUAGCAGUGAAAUGCGUAGAGAUGUGGAGGAAUACCGAUGGCGAAGGCAGCCCCCUGGGCCAAUACUGACGCUCAUGCAAGAAAGCGUGGGGAGCAAACAGGAUUAGAUACCCCAGUAGUCCCUGUCUCUUAUAA